AACGAACGCUGGCGGCAGGCCUAACACAUGCAAGUCGAACGAAGCCUUCGGGCUUAGUGGCGCACGGGUGAGUAACGCGUGGGAAUCUGCCCAAUAGUGGGGAAUAACUUCGGGAAACUGAAGCUAAUACCGCAUACGCCCUUCGGGGGAAAGGCUUCGGCCGCUAAUGGAUGAGCCCGCGUUGAAUUAGCUUGUUGGUGGGGUAAUGGCCUACCAAGGCGACGAUUCAUAGCUGGUCUGAGAGGACGAUCAGCCACACUGGGACUGAGACACGGCCCAG
rnacentral:rRNA from 1 species